AUGGUGGCUCGGGCGCGGCGGGCGCGGCGGCGCGCUCUCGCGAGGGGGCGGGGCCGCGCCGGGGGCGGGGCCGCGCGGGGGGGCGGGAGCGGCCGGGCCAGGCGGCUGGGGAUGGGUGGGGGGGGCCGACUUCCUGGGGCCGCCCGUGAGGAUGUCCCGGCCGCCCCCCGGUGCCCCUCAGCCCUCGAGACGCCGCCGCGGCCGAGCCAGGAGACCCCCCGCCUGAGGCGUCCGCGCUGCAGAUCCGGCCCCUCCUCUCCCAGGUGCGGGCCGGGCAGGCGGCCGCGGCAGGUGAGCGCCCUGCCCGGGGCGGGGGCCUGGCGGAGGCCGGGGUGGGGGACGCUGCUCGGCCUCGGGUCUCGCCGUGGGCUGGGGGCGCCGCCUCGGUGCGGGCGCGGCCUGGGGCUCCCCUUGCGUAGGCGGGAUGGAAGUCGCCGCAUUCAGGCUAGCCCGCACCUGUCCCAUGAAAAGUCCUCUCAGUGCAUUUCACCUGUGGGGACAGUAACAGGAGGCGCGUGUCCUCAACGGUCUCCUGUCGCCCUACAGACCGGCAAGUUCAGUUGGCUUGUGGGGGCAAGAUGCCGCUUACGGCGGAGGAAACUGAGUCAGGUCGGCGGCGGCCUGCGUGCCCCUUUAGAGGCUCUAGCCUGGCCCUGCUUCCUAGUGGAGGAGCCCUGCGGGCUUCUCGGAGGAGGAAGGCGGCUGGAGUUCGGAGGCUUGACGGAGAAGUUUGGGAAUGUGGUUUCCCCCCAGGGUCCACCGUUCCCUCUUUUGGGAGUUGUCCUCUGUUUGUUGGCGGUGAUGUGUGUGAGGUCGCCGAGGGCUAAGACGGAGGGGGAGGUGCGGCCUCUCUCCGGCCGGCUGCCCGGGAGACGUUUGCCGAGGCGUGGGGACGGAUGGCUGGACCAGGGCGGCCGGCGCGAUGCAGGCGUCUGUGCUCAGGGCUUGAGUUCAGGCUGGGAGAUAGAAACAGCAGCGUAUUUCCUCCUUUCGGUUGGUCUGUCAUUUGUUCUAAGGGGAGAAAACGGCUUGUGUAAUCAAGGAAGAGUGCCCCAUGCUCCUCCCAGCCUACCCUAG
rnacentral:lncRNA from 1 species